CUCGCUCUGAGGGGGCUGUCCUGCCUGGCCCCGAAGCCUCGCUGUCCGCACGGCUACCGGGUUCUUCUGCCCGUUGUAAACCAAGGGGUGCCCGGUUCAGGAGGCUGUUUCUACAACCCCUCGUUUUGUAACUGGAUGGUUACAAAAUGGCUACAGCGAGCCGCAUGCCGUCACACCUGAGCAGUGGGGUGUAAACCUCUCCAUACAAACAGGCUGUAGGAUCUAAAAACCACAGAGCUGGGUUACAGAAGAUGCCAACUGUAAAACAACUGCACCAGGAAGUUAAUUUACCAAGAGCAAAGAUUUAGCUCAAAUGUUGAUGGAGCAACUGACUUGAGGUGGCUGAACUUAGACAAUCUGGAUCCUCUUAGCACCUUUGGAGAGAAAGGAGCAUUUUCAGACACGUCUCAGACACUGCCAUGGAUUUAGAGGCUAAUCAAAGGUUUGCAUUAACUGCAAUGCAAGAGGAAGUGGCAAUAUACAACCUGAGGCCCAUUCUGUGGAAUCAGAAGACGGUGAAAGACUUCAGGAGCAGCGUGCCUUGAAUUUGAAUUAGCCAGACUGAAUUUAAAAUCAACAAGCUGAAAGAGCCUGAGAUAAGAAGUCAGAACAUUCAGAGGAAAUGAGAACUGUUCCGGGAACUAAAGGUGAGAGAAACACUAAGUCACAUUAAAAAUAUUCAGCAAGUAAAAGGCACACCUUUUCUUUUUCUGGACACCUUUUCUUAGAAGUCAUCUAUAAUCAGU
rnacentral:lncRNA from 1 species